AGGGAAGGUGGGAGGAUGGGCGGGCGGCGUCAUGACCCGAGCCAUCGCCGCAGCUCACGUUACUUCUACAAUAACAUUCCAUUGCUCGGCCACUUGUUGUUCAUUUCUCUUCAGCGUUCUCGUCACCAGUGUUCAUGAGCAGCUGAGAGAAAACACCAUGUACAGCCGGCGUUGGCAGCUACCAAAGAGAAUGUGCCAUAGCGUGCCCGUUACUACGUCUUCAUUCUCACCUUUCUCACCAGACGCAAGAGUGCAAAACAGUGAUCAGUGAGGGCGUGGACGUGCAGCUCACCGCUAGCUGCCACAAGCCUUGGCGCCGCAGCAAAUCGUGCCAGCCCAGGGAGGACGCGGCGCCUAACUCCCAUCGCGCUUGGUGUGCUCGCAGGAAGGAUGUGACUUCAGUGGGACUUGGGACCGCCACACUUGAUGACCGGUGUGGUGACGCGAGGCCGAGGGGACACGGACCGCAAACAUUGGGUGAAGGCCUACACAUUCACCCAUUGCAACGACUCCAAGGUUUGGUUCACCUACAAAGACGGCAACCACCUCGAUACUAAGGUGAGCGACAAGAUGAAUGAACUUUAUGUUCUCUUGCAAAAAUGUUGCGAAGUGAACGAAUGCAGCACAUGGGAGAAGAGGAGAGGAUACUUCUAUUAGACUUAAUCAAUGAAAGAAGAGGUGUUCUCCUCAGCAAAGCCACCAACCGUGACCAACGCCCGCAUUAUACCGGUCAAGGCAAGAGUAUGGGAGGAGAUCACGAACUCUCUUGCUGCCAGUGGUCUGGGGCCGCAGAGGACUGUAAAACAGAUUAAGAAGAUUUAGGAAAACAUGAGAUCAAGGGCCAAGAAGUUUGUUAGUGACCAGAGGAAAAAACUGUGUUGAACAGGAGGUGGUCCUCUAAGUCCAGUUGUCAAGCCAGACCCUGUAUUGGAGAAAAUCCUUGCUCUCAUCGCAGACGAGCUAGAACCGGACCCAAACCACAGUGACAGUGACAUGGCCAACAGAUGUCACUGUCGUUGUUAUUAAUGAGAAGGGAGAGCAGUUGGAUGAGCCGAUGGCCAUGACUGAACAGCCAUCCACAGCACGCUCAGUGCCUAUUUCGCUCAUGCCUGCCAGAGGAAAUGAUAGUGCACCUGCUGCUUGCACCUCUUUUGUUGAGUCAUCGGGAACUGCAGCUUUGCUCUACAGUCCUGCCAUCCACCGCACACCUCUUUCUUUAACUUCUAAGGAUGUUCAUGGAACUGUAGUGUCAUCCUCAAGCUCCUCCAACCACUGUACACCACUUCCUUCAACCUCUGUUGAUGUACAGUAGCUUCAAUUUGCAACAGUAGCUUCAAUUUGUAGCACACCUCUUCCUUCCACCUCUGUUUUGGCAUCGGUACCAGUUACCUUUCCAAGUGAAUUGUCACCAAUACAGUCUUCCAGUGCGAGAGGAAAAGUGAGUGGGAAAAAGUUUAAAGCAAAGAAAAGGCAAGUGGAAGACAGUGUUGGCAGAGAGUCCUAUGAAAUGUUGUCAAAGUUUCAAAAGGAAGAACAUGAAAUAGUGAUGCAAAUUCAUAAACAAAACUUAGAAAAUAAAAAGAUUGAAGGGGACUGUUUAUGCCAAGCAAUGAAAAUUAUGUCUUCUAUACAUUCAAGAGUUGGAGACACACUGGAAGAUGUGCGUGCAGAUGCAGGUGCAUUUGUAGAUUUCUUGGACAAUUCUAGAAAUGAUCAGGCAUAAAUUUGUUUUGCGGUGUUGCUGUAAGAUCAAGAUCCAAAGUUUCUUUACUCACCCAGUUUAGUA